CGGAGAACAGAGUCAGAACUGGAAGAGAGGCAGUGGAAUUUGUUGUGAUCUAGCAUAUUCGGGAGUCCGAACAAAGGGAUCUUUCUUAUCAAAAGCUAAGUGCCAUUUUUCUUAUUAGUGUAUGUUUAGAUUGCCCUUAGAAAUAGAUUUUGUCUAAAUUUGGUAUGUUAGCCUGAGUAAAAUCAGGUGGUGCUGAAGCCUUAAACCCGUUCGGGGUAAAGACAUAAUUUAGAUGAAAAACUAUAUUAUACGUUUAGGAUUGUAAUUUGUUUUGUUUGUGUAAACGUCAUAUCCGUUGUUGCUUAGUUACUUCGUGACGUUAUCAUUGUGUGCCAUAUUGUCAUAUCCCAACCCAUAGCGAUAGUCUCAUUUAAUUAUUUCAUUUGUUUAUAUUAUUUUAAAUUAUUUAUUUUUAUUAAUUUAAUUAGAUCUGUAUUUUUUUUCACUUAAUGAUAGAAAGUGCGGGUAGGAUUCUUUUACUGUGAAUCAGACUAAAAUAAUUUUAGUUUGAGCGGUUAAAAUCAAAUAUGAUUUUGCCAUGAGAAUAAUGCCGAAACUGGCUAUGUAGUCAAACACUGUCGUCUGGCUAAAUAUAGAUCUACAAAUUGUUGUACAUCUCUUUCGUACAAUUAAAUCAUCUAGACUCUAAUUUGAAAUAUUAUUAAUUGAAAAAUGAAUGAAGAUUACUGCCAGUGAAGAACGCUUGUGACGUGUGACGUGUCCAUAAGAUGCCACAUUUUCUUUUAUGAUGAACUGUGUACUAAUGAAGAUGAUUCUGGAAUGUUAUGAACAUUGACAUUGAAUAUGAGGAACUGUCAAGUCAAGAUGAAGAUGUCAAGAUGAAGAUGUCAAGAUGAAGAUGUCAAGAUUUUAUGUUUGUUGUCUUCCCCUUAAAUUGAAAAUGCCCUUGUAAGACUUGACAGUAGUGGAAAAAUAUUGACAUAUUUUUUUUUCAAGGGGGGGAGGAAUCUGUUAGACACCUUAUUUAUAUAGGUUAGUUAUUUUAGUUAUUUAGCGACGCACCAUAGUAGACGCAUAUUGAACGGGACUAGUGACGUUUGGGAUAUGUUGGGUUAGAGACCGGAAAAUCAGUUAGCGAUAGAACAAUCCAGGGUAACGACGUGUUUAGUGACAGAGACUUCUACUGUGGCCUUUUAUCAGAAUAAAUCCAUGUACAAUUGUU